rnacentral:rRNA from 1 species
UAGGGAAUCUUCCACAAUGGACGCAAGUCUGAUGGAGCAACGCCGCGUGAGUGAAGAAGGUCUUCGGAUCGUAAACUCUGUUGUUAGAGAAGAACACGAGUGAGAGUAACUGUUCAUUCGAUGACGGUAUCUAACCAGCAAGUCACGGCUAACUACGUGCCAG